AUGAAAAUUCUCAUGUCCAUAGAGACCAGGAAGCUUAGAUUCUCACACUGUUUUCUUGCACUAGAUGCGGCCGAUGACGCAACUAAUAAUAAUGGCAUGGCUUUGGAGCGCCCCACUCCAGUGACAAACAAUCGGGGUGAAGAAGAAGAAGGUAGCACACACCCAGGCGACCUUGCAAGUAAGAGCUCACAGUUCACCCUCAUCCUUAGCCUGGUGUGCGGCACCAUUGUACAAACUCGCUGCCCAUCUGGGUGAGAAGGACUCCGUGCUCCCUCUGUGUUUCUCUCCAUGAAGUAAGUCCCUCUUGUUGUAAGGCUCUUGGGAGGGCAGACAUCCUUUUUGCUCAAGGCCCAUGCACCAAAUGAAGCCUGCAGAAAAACUGUCAUGUGAUGGAUAGUGGUUGGAUUUCAGUAUUGUCAUGUGUUCUAUUUUUGGUUUUUAAGAUCAACGUUUUGGGUUUAAGAUCCCUUCAUUAGCAUACUUUUCCUAGAAUUACCCCUCCAGGAAAGUUCUAAGUUUUCUUAAAUGAUUUUAAUUUUUUCCUUUACACUCGGUUUAAAUUUUUCUGUUAAUUUCUGCUGUGCAGGAAAGUGAUCCUGUCGCACACGCGUGCACACACGCACACAGACACACCCAUAUACAUGCUUACAUUUUCUCCCACUAUCCUCUAUCACGUUCCUUCGUGAGUGGCUGGAUAUUGUAUCCCUGUGCGAUCCAGUGGGCUCUCAUCGCAUAGCCAGUCCAGAUGCAAUUGUUUGCAUCCCUAAAGCCCAGAGUCCCAGUGCAUCCCACUUCCUCCCUGACCCACUGGCAAGCACAAGUCUCUUCUGCAAGUCCUUGAGUUUCUGUUCCGUGGAAAGGAUCAUUUGUGCUGUGUUUUAGAGUCCAGAUAUAAGUGACAUCAUGUGGGGUUGGUGUUUCUCUUUCUGAGGGACUUUGCUUAGGAUGAGCGCCUCUAGUUCCAUCCACUCUGCUGCAAAUGGCACUAAUUCCUUCCUUUCACGGCUGAGGAGUACCGCAUUGUGUAUAUAUCCCACCUCUUGUUAACCCAUUCAUCUGUCGGUGGACGUUUAGGUGGUUUCCACGUCUUGGCUAGCGUGAGGAGUGCCGCACUGGACACUCGGCGCUGUCGUCAACGUCCAUGGGUGCCUGUAUCUUGUUCAAGGCAAGUCUUGUCCCCACAUACGCCCAAGAGUGGGAUUUCUGGGCCACAUGCUAGUUCUAUAUUUAGUUUUCCGAGGUCCCUGCAUGGUGC
rnacentral:lncRNA from 1 species